CUGAGAUAACUUAUGAACGUUGUAGGCUAUUCGAAUUACAGAUGUUGCUUGGUCUUGAUAGCUUAUUUAGAUUUUGACUGUAAAAGUAAUAAGUAAUGAUAUGCUGCAAAGCUACUCCACACUCCAUAGACCUAUUAACAAACUUGUCAACACAGAUGUCAAUGUAGCCGUCGACAGCGUUACUCUACAUUGUAGGUUUUUACCAUAAUAAAUAAUUUCAACAUUAGAACUUCUUUGACUUCUUUCAGGUCAUCACCAAAGUCCUAAACAAAAGGUGUGUGAGGCUGAGGAUGCUUUGAUGGUGAAACACAUAAAAAACAAAAAAUAAAAAGCGGCGGCCAAAUUAAUCAUGAAGCAUGAGGAGCUUCUACAGGAAGUGAAGGUCAUCAUCCUUACAGUCAUUGCAAGUGAAUAAAAAACACUCUGCGACCCCAGCCAUCAUUUCAUGUUGUGGAGGUCUUCACCAGAAGAUUUGAGUUCUUUCUCAUUUACCACACCAGUUCUGUCUCUCACCACUCCUCUUGUCUGUCUUUUCAACCAUCACGAACCACUCCCGUCCUGUCACCUGUGCUGCUGCUGCAAUUGCAUUGAGAGGUAGAGAAACCUGUCUGUCAGCUUUCGCUCACUAUAUAAACUGCAUUCUUCAAUAUGGGGGUGCGAAGAAGGCAGUGUUUGAAAGGCUCAGCAAAUUGGCCAUUUCAACGGUGCACAAAAAUGCUAUUGGAAAGCAGAAGCAGUUGUCGAACAAGUAUGGAUCUGGUCUUUGGUUAUUAAAGAGGCAAAAUGAAGAAUUCAUAACUCUGGAAGCUGGGUGUCAGUCUGUCAAUCAAGGACAGGAAAAAAACUCCAUUGACCCCAGAAGUCUGAGCCAGAAGUCUGAGUCAGAGUCUGAGCUGUUACUCAGUGAUGUCUUCCGAAGCAUGGAAGAUCUUUAAUUAUCAGAGGAGGUGGCUGAAAGCAGUGCCGUGGACAAGGCUACACCAGAUGAAGAGGUGAGGAUCACAUCAGAGGUACUUGAAAGCAGUGCCGUGGACCAGGCUACACCAGAAGAAGAGUUGAGGAUCACAUCAGAGGUACUUGAAAGCAGUGAAAGCAGUGCCGUGGACCAGGUUUCUGGACAUGAUGAUGUGAGGAUCACAUCCCAGUCAUUGAUGUAGACAUGGCCAACUCCACCACAUACAUAUUCAAUAAUCUUUGACAAUUUGGAUUUCUACAUGCAUGCACACCACCAGUCCACCCUACACAGCAACCGGUCAAUACACUGGAUACACCACAUUGCAGUCCAAUACCGGAUCCCAAUAUAUCACCUGGCUAACAAACCACUUGGAAAUCUUCUGCACUAUGACCUGAAUUUGUCACUCCCUGGAGAGGGUCAACAAAAUUCCUUCCAGUCUAAUCACUGUGAGCAGGGGUUAUAAAAACAAGUGUCUUCAUUGUAGGUAUGUACCAAAAUGACCUCAUGGACUGUCAACAAUUUUGGUCGGAGGAGACAGGCUCUCUGAAGCCAACAGCAGAAAUCUACAGUGGGCCUAUGCUGAUGGUAUCAACAUAGAGGAGAGGUUUGAUGGCAUGGAGUUAAUGUUUGAGGACUGGCAUGCCAUUAGGGUGCUGUUCGGAGUAAGUAAUCUAUCACAAUGUAACAUGAUACAUGUUUGCUUUUACUGUUAUAUUCAGUUCAUUAUUUAAUUUUAGACAUUUUAGUAGUCGUAGUUGAACAGUGUUAUGAGGCAGUGUACCUUUCUGCUUUGCAGGCUGCCUUAUCCAUUGAUUUUGUUUUACUGUUGUCUAUACGUAUUUAUUUAACUUAGAUCCAAUUUAAAGUUUUCUUCAGCGACAAAUCUGCAAAGGACCAUGGGACACUGUUCGCCAACAUGACAAAGUUGAGGUACAGCUGCUGCAUUGACAGUAUGAAUUCAUGACUUUUUUGAACCAUUGGGCUUUGGCCAGCAGAAAUUAUUUUGAGCUUGCUACCUAAUGUUAUCUAAAUUGUUGACAAUGUUCUCUGCAGUUUUGCUGACACACAAACUCCAGUCAUCCUGUACAUAUUUCCGGAUAAACCAUGAAUUUAUGUUCUUUGUGGUGGGAUGGGAUGGGAUGGGCCAUCAUGAAAUGCCUUUCUCUGGUUCGGUGAAUAUACCAGUAUGGUAUGGCUUUACAAGGUUUCCAUUAUAUUUUCGCUAACUUUCCCAGAAUGUGAGGUUUGUGUGUUUGAAACAUGAAAGGUGAGGUGAGAAACAUCAAUGGUGGGGCGAGAAACAUUCCUAAAGUCUUUCCUGAAGGCUCUGGGUCCAAACCUGUCUGAAAAAUCAGCACGCCGGGUCAGCCAGUCAAUUGGUGUUUUGAAGAAAAUGAUGGAUAAGGUGGAUGGUGAAUUGGGUGUCAACAGGCCAACUGGCACCCAUCGUGCCGAGCAGCAGACACAGGAUGUUUUGACUCUGAUAGAUGUUUUCAUGGAGGGUCAACUGUUUACAGGAAUACCUGGCAGUGAAUUUACCCGAAA